UACAACACACAACAACAACUCAAAUCCAUCAUACAAGCUCAAAACAUAACAUUAACUCCAAAAACCUAACUAUGAGCUAAACAUGCAUUCUACCCCAUAUAUCUUGCAUAAAACUUUCUUUAAACAUGAAAUGAGCUUAAGAUCGGCUCUUACCUCUUGAAGAUCGAGAGAGAGACGUCCUAAACUCGAAGGUGGGAGGUUUUGAGUUCUUGAACCUCAAAGCUCCAAAACUUGCUUUAAACUCGAAAAUCUUCAAAACAAAGCAAAAGCUUGUGAAAAACUUGAAAGAUUUGAAGGGAAGAACUCAAGGAUGGUGAGGAAUGGCGGAAGGACUCACCUUGGCCGAAAAUGGGGAAAAGCUCGCCCGUUUUCGGCUAAGGGACCCUUUUAUAGUGGCUGGCCAGGCCACGUUCG
rnacentral:lncRNA from 1 species